AGUGGCGAACGGGUGAGUAACACGUGAGGAACCUGCCCCGAAGACCGGGAUAACACCGGGAAACCGGUGCUAAUACCGGAUGCCCUCGAAGGAUCGCAUGGUCCAUCGAGGAAAUGGAUUCCGCUUCGGGAUGGCCUCGCGCCCUAUCAGCUUGUUGGUGAGGUAACGGCUCACCAAGGCAACGACGGGUAGCUGGUCUGAGAGGAUGUCCAGCCACACUGGGACUGAGACACGGCCCAGACUCCUACGGGAGGCAGCAGUUAGGAAUCUUGCGCAGUGGGCGAAAGCCUGACGCAGCGACGCCGCGUGCGGGAUGAAGGCCUUCGGGUUGUAAACCGCUUUCAGCAGGGACGAAAUUGACGGUACCUGCAGAAGAAGCCCCGGCCAACUACGUGCCAGCAGCCGCGGUAAUACGUAGGGGGCGAGCGUUGUCCGGAUUUAUUGGGCGUAAAGAGCUCGUAGGCGGUUUGGUAAGUCGGAUGUGAAAUCUCCAGGCUCAACCUGGAGGGGUCAUUCGAUACUGCCAUGACUAGAGUUCGGUAGGGGUGUGUGGAAUUCCUGGUGGAGCGGUGAAAUGCGCAGAUAUCAGGAGGAACACCCGUAGCGAAGGCGGCACACUGGGCCGAUAC
rnacentral:rRNA from 1 species